rnacentral:lncRNA from 1 species
GGGUGUUACACAGGUUUGUGAAGCAACACUACUUCCUUAGCUUUUGUUGUAUAGAUAGCAUAUAACAAUGAUGCAAAUCUUAGGUGCUUUUUUUAAAAUAUGGAAAUUAUUUAUAUAAUGGAGGGUGGAAGGUAACUAAAAAAUAUGUAUUUUCAAUAACUGAUCUCAAGGUUCUUCAUCACAUAUAUCUUGGAACUAUACAAACAACUAACCUUGUCAUGAUUUUUUGUUAGGAUCUAUACAUAUUAUGUUGGGAUAUUCGAAACACCGUGGACAUUGUUUACAUGUAAGUUUUUAAACACAUUCUACUAAACUUCCAAAAUCCAGCAUAUUACUAUGAAUAAGUACAAUUAGUUUGUUCGAUCCUGGAAGUGGAAUUGAUAGGUUAAUCUGCCUUAUUUUAAGUGGAAUCAUAUUCUUCUGACUUUUGUAUAUAUAGUAGCAGAUUGCUAUCAUGACAUAUCUUUUGUAGAACUGAAGGUGCUCGAAAGGCACACCAGAAUUCAGAUGUAGUUUAUGAACUUUCUCUGUACUUUAGAGGUCAGUGAAUGGUUUGAAAAUAUGAUGCUAAUAAUCAUUAAGCAGUAUGUAGUAUGUGUGUGUCUCUACUAAAGGACUUUGUAAUCAGCUACAUGAAAGAGAGGAAAUACAAGAGAAAAUGCACUAUAUGUGUGUGUGCCAAAGUGCGUGUAUCUUUUUCUAUCUUGAGCAUGUACUCUUCUUCUUCCUGGGGCUUCUCCAACAAUGUUGCCGUGAUUCUCUCGGGAAUUUAGCAAAAUCUAUUAACAAACCUUUUGUACUAUUAUUUGUUGGCAUCUCAUUAAGCGAAUUUAAAG